rnacentral:lncRNA from 1 species
GCAAGGAAACUGAAGCUGAAGAGAUAAAGAUCAUUUAACUAAGAUCCACAGUGACUAUCAUUUCUCCACCUGAUGUCGAGCAACAUUGUCCAGGAUUGGAAAAUGCUUGGGUUGGAUCAAUUUAUAGUUUAUCAGAUUUGCAAAAUCUCCUAAAGAUGGCCUUGCUCUCUCCUCCAAGGCUGAUGACUGGAAUGGGAACUGAAGAUGAAUAAAUUAGAAGCCUGAAAAGACCAAUCCUCUUUUUAAUUAAAAAGAAGAGUCCUUUAUUGCAUGAGCACCGGCAUUGGUCAAAGCACGAAGAGCAUCAGGAUGCCUGGCUUUGAAUCCCGAGGUCGUGAAGGUGAAUCCAAGGGGGAAACGGGACAGCAGCACCAUUGGAAGAGAUGCUCAGUGUCUGGGGGGAGUGGCUCUGGCCUCACAAGUUAGGAUCUGGCGGGUUUGAGUCUCUACUUACCAGCAAGGAUGAUCCUGAAACGAAAGAGCCAACAGAAACAGGAUUCCUGCAUUUGUGUUUAGUGGAACUCUUUGAGGAAUGAACACACGCGUGUGGGCACAGGCCAGGUUAUGUUGCAGGCAUAAAUAAGCCACGGCAAAGUUUAUUUCUUGCUUCCCCAGUGUCUGUGGAGGUCAAGGCUGCUCUCCAGAACAGCUGCCCUUGAAGGGCACAGUGGCACAGCCUGGCCUCAUCCUGUGGCUCCAUCAUCUUAACCUUCAACAGCAGCCUCUACUGUCCCCAUGCCAGUAGAGAGAAAGCCUGAGGCCUGGCCUCCUGGAAAUCAUGUGGGUUGGGGCCACAGCCCCACCAACGCCGUAGGGCUGGCCAUGGAGUGUGUAGGAGCCCAGAAGAAGAGGACAAGGGAAUGUUGGUGAGUACUGAUGACUUCCACCACUCGUGAGAGACAGGCAUAAGGAGUCACUUAUAUCUUUCAGUUAAAUGAGUACUUACUGAGCCAAUACUUAAUGUUUAGCACUUUUUUAGCCUAGGUAGUUGGUGAGAGUGGAGAGGGGAUGGUACGUAAAACAGAGUCCUCAUCCUGUAAGUGUUGAGAGCUUUCUGCAAAAGCAAGAGACUUGAAAUAAUUUAACAGCAAUGAAAGGCCUCCUGUGACAACUUUCCUAAUUUUACUUUUCAGACAAUUUUUUGGGAGAGGAGUUAGGAGAAGAGAUGGGCAGUCCAGGCAGAAUAGUCU